UAUGAGGGAUUUAGAUAUGUUGUGUGGUAUCAUAGGACAUGCAUGUCCUAACAAGAAACAAAGACCAUCUUACGAGCACCCCAUGGUUUCUUCCUCAUGGGAUGGACCCUGGUGACCUUCCAAAAACAGCAAAAAAUAGUAAAGAUGUACGGAAGGAGAGUGAUUAUCAAAUGCAACACCGUCGGAAUGCAAAAGUGAAUAGAAUGGACUACCAAUCUCCGAUCAUGGUAGGGCAUCAUCAAAACCUCCCAAGCACAUAAGAUUCUAGUCAGGGUAUUCCGUACGGCAGCUGAUCUCCUUCUCUUAUGGAUAUUUACUAUUCAGAUUAGUUGUGAGGUCUUGGGAUUUGGACCGCCAUUAGUUCUACCUUUUAUUUCCAAUAUUUACUAUUAUUUGAAGACUUAUGAUGUAUAUCAGAUUCGAUCAUUGUACGAGAUGCCCUUUACACCUAUGACUUCCCUUUAGGAGUAUUGUAUGGUUUUAAUUUUCUACUUA